UCCCCGUUACCGGGGCAGUCUGAAUAGAAAAAUACAACUAUCCAUAAGGGUUGCGCUCGUUAAUGGACUUAACCAAACAUCUCACGACACGAGCUGACGACGGCCAUGCAGCACCUGUCACUUGGCUCCCGAAGGCACUCUCGGCUUUCGCCAAAAUUCCAAGGAUGUCAAACCUGGGUAAGGUUCUUCGCUUACCAUCGAAUUAAACAACACGCUCCACCGCUUGUGCGGGUCCCCGUCAAUUCCUUUGAGUUUUAGUCUUGCGACCGUACUCCCCAGGCGGGAUGCUUAACGCGUUAGCUUCGCUACAUACCGGGUCGAUACGGCAUACAGCUAGCAUCCAUAGUUUACGGCGUGGACUAC
rnacentral:misc_RNA from 1 species